ACUUCGUGAUAUGGGCAUUUACGCAAAAGGUCCCUAAAGCACUCCCAUGUCUCAAAAAAUUGUUCACCAUUUAAUUGGGAGAAACUAGUUAUUGCCUUCCUUAGCU